GUAACAAGGUUUCCGUAGGUGAACCUGCGGAAGGAUCAUUACCGAGUGAGGGCCCUCUGGGUCCAACCUCCCACCCGUGUUUAUCGUACCUUGUUGCUUCGGCGAGCCCGCCUCACGGCCGCCGGGGGGCAUCCGCCCCCGGGCCCGCGCUCGCCGAAGACACCAUUGAACUCUGUCUGAAGAUUGCAGUCUGAGUGAUUAACUAAAUCAGUUAAAACUUUCAACAACGGAUCUCUUGGUUCCGGCAUCGAUGAAGAACGCAGCGAAAUGCGAUAAGUAAUGUGAAUUGCAGAAUUCAGUGAAUCAUCGAGUCUUUGAACGCACAUUGCGCCCCCUGGUAUUCCGGGGGGCAUGCCUGUCCGAGCGUCAUUGCUGCCCUCAAGCACGGCUUGUGUGUUGGGCCCCGCCCCCCGGUUUCGGGGGGCGGACCCGAAAGGCAGCGGCGGCACCGCGUCCGGUCCUCGAGCGUAUGGGGCUUCGUCACCCGCUCUGUAGGCCCGGCCGGCGCCCGCCGGCGACCCCAAUCAAUCUAUCCAGGUUGACCUCGGAUCAGGUAGGGAUACCCGCUGAACUUAAGCAUAUCA
rnacentral:misc_RNA from 1 species